rnacentral:rRNA from 1 species
UACGGAGGAGGCAAGCGUUAUCCGGAAUUAUUGGGCGUAAAGCGUCUGCAGGUGGACUGGUAAGUCUGCCGUCAAAGCACGGGGCUUAACCCCGUAAAGGCGGUGGAAACUGCCAGACUAGAGGCUGGUAGGGGUAGAGGGAAUUCCCAGUGUAGCGGUGAAAUGCGUAGAGAUUGGGAAGAACACCAGUGGCGAAAGCGCUCUACUGGACCAGAACUGACACUCAGGGACGAAAGCUAGGGGAGCGAAAGGG